ACCUUGCAAUGAAGCUCCAUAUCAAGAAAAGUAGUUGCAUACUAAUAGGGGAAAUGCAAAAGGACAAGGUACCCACAAUGCAGCAGAUAUCAGAUUUCGUACAGACAAGGCUACGGGCAAGUGGGAUGCUAUUUUAGCAAGCCAUUCACUAAGCAGUACAAAGAAAAUCAACAGACUCCUUCAGGAGUGACACUGUCCCAACUUUACAGCUGAAGAUACUGGAUAACACUGUGCUCGUGCACGUGAAGUUACCUGGGAGCCAUCACUGAUUGGCUAAACUGCAAGUCUGUCAAAAGAACAAAUAAAGGGGCAGUCUGCAGAGGCUUAGAUACAAGAUAAUCACAGAGUCACAAAAACAUUUCCACCAUGUCUGAAAGGUAAGUAAGAUG